GGUUUCGUGGUGUAGUUGGUUAUCACAUAUGCCUAACACGCAUAGGGUCCCCGGUUCGAUCCCGGGCGAAACCA
rnacentral:tRNA from 1 species